UGAUCCAUAGAAAUGUUCUCCUGGAAUUGUGUUGUAUAUGUGCUGCUUCUUUGCAUUCUUACCACCAGUAGCCACACCUCUCACACCUGUGGUGGCCCACAGUUUGUUGAUACCACACACAAUGGGAUUUCCACUGUGGCUUCCACAGUCAUUACCCUGUGCAGCUAAGAUAUGUAGUAUGAGGCUCUCCAUCCAUGGAUCCGGGACAGGACAAGGAAAGAUACACCUUCAAAAAUCUACAUCAGGACCAAGCCAGAAGCUACUACUGGAGCCUAUUAACUCUGCAUUACUGUGUCCCAGGACUCGAUAUGUUUUUGCUUCUGAGUCCUUACCUGUGCCAACAAAGAAGAUUCUGGAAGAUAAGUCUGCUAAUGGUGAAAACAUUGCUUGGUGACAAACUCCCCCUAUACAGUAAAUACUUGUCUGACCUGCUAAACCAAGUCCCACACUGUACUACAGACUACUCCAUUAUGGGAAAAGAUGACUACAUAUUUUUUAGACUGAGGCAUGUAUUUAACAUUUUUGACACCUACAAAAACCUGUAAUUCUAUUCUUCAUUGAGUUUGAUUUUAUUCUUCACUGACUGAAGUUAAAUGGAAAGAAUGUAAAGCAAUCCUCUUUUUAAUUGAAACGAGAGUUAUUUUUUUACAACUUGUGAGUUUAGAUUUAUUUCCCUUCGACUUCAAAGACAUACCUGUAGUCGUUCAAAAAGUGGAACUGCACUCUAAUGAGGAAAUAAAUCAUAAUUCAUAGCUAGAAUUUAUAGGAGAAUGGUGCAUUGGGCUUCUGAUCUAUUAUAUAAUAGAGAACAGCAGAAUUAAAAGCCUAUUAGCCCUAUACAUGUACUUCAUGACCCCAAGCCAUCCUUCUAGGCAUUGACCCAAAUGAGCCAAAAGCAUAUUUCCAUACACAAAUGUUCAUAGAAAAUUAUUAGUAAUAGCCCAAAACUGGAAACUACACUAACGUCCAGUAACGAAUGAAUGGAUAAAAAAUUUGCGGCAUAUCCAUACUACACUAUAUGACUCAGCCAUAAAAAGUCAAAUUAUCAAUAAAAAGUCAAAUUAUCAAUGCAUACAACAUUGAUGGAUCUUCAACUAAUGGUGAUGAAUGAAAGAAGCCAGACAAUAAAGGAGUAUAUACUGUAUUGUUUCAUUUGGAUUAAGUUCUUAAAAAUCCAAAUUAAUCUAUAGUGACUGAGAACAGAUUAAUGAUGCCUGAUGUCCUGAGGUAGAGAGUGGGCUGGGGAUAGUGGGGCAAUGGGGAAAUAUAUGAGUCAUAAUUGUCCAGAGAAACAGGACCAACAGGAUGUGGAGAAAGGGAGUUUUAUCUUGAGGACAGAUUCCUCUAAUUGUGCAGGUGCAAGUCCAAAAUCUGGAAGAAAGAGUAGCUGUACAGCUAAAGUCCAAAGGCCUUCUGAUGGCAAAAUUCCUUCUCACUUAGGGAGCUCAUCUUUUCUCUUAAGUCCUUCAAAUGAUUGGGUGAGUCCCACCCACAUAAUAGGGGGCAAUCUCUUUUACUCUACAUCUACCAAUUUAAAUGCUACUCAUCCAAAAAACUCCUUCACAGAAAUAUCCAGAAUAAUAUUUGACCAAAUAUCUGGGCACCAUUGGACCAGACAAGUUACCACAAAAUAAAACCAUCACAGGGAUGGACAAGAGUGAGGAUUACCAAGGCCAUGAGGGAAUGUGGAUGGGUUAUAUAUAUGUUGA